GAUGAACGCUGGCGGCGUGCCUAAUACAUGCAAGUCGAGCGAACAGACGAGGAGCUUGCUCCUCUGACGUUAGCGGCGGACGGGUGAGUAACACGUGGAUAACCUAGCUAUAAGACUGGGAUAACUUCGGGAAACCGGAGCUAAUACCGGAUAAUAUAUUGAACCGCAUGGUUCAAUAGUGAAAGACGGUUUUGCUGUCACUUAUAGAUGGAUCCGCGCCGCAUUAGCUAGUUGGUAAGGUAACGGCUUACCAAGGCGACGAUGCGUAGCCGACCUGAGAGGGUGAUCGGCCACACUGGAACUGAGACACGGUCCAGACUCCUACGGGAGGCAGCAGUAGGGAAUCUUCCGCAAUGGGCGAAAGCCUGACGGAGCAACGCCGCGUGAGUGAUGAAGGUCUUCGGAUCGUAAAACUCUGUUAUUAGGGAAGAACAAAUGUGUAAGUAACUAUGCACGUCUUGACGGUACCUAAUCAGAAAGCCACGGCUAACUACGUG
rnacentral:rRNA from 1 species